CCCCCAUGGAACACUUUACUUAGCGUUACGGGGUUUACCGAAAACGGAGCCCCGAGAUCUGUGGCGUAGGGAAAGUGGCGUCCCCAUCGCCCAAUACACAUGGUGUAUUGCAAUAGCCCUACCUCUGACUUUAAACGGUCGGGGAUAGUAUGGUUCGCUCUGGGGUUUAUUCGGAAUGACUGCAUAUUAGGUUAGUGCGAUAUGAGCGGCAAAGAGUGUUUCUCAGACCGAGGUUUAGUAAAGAGAAUUAACUCACAAUGCAACAUCAGUUUGUGCAGUAGACUAAUAAAUUCGUUGGCGAAUAACCGAGCGUCGCCACCUUUAUCAAUGUCAGCAAGACGAUGGACCACUGGAGAGUUCAUUGGAAAGACUCGUGUGCAUUCAAUGCGGAUAGCAAUGGACGAUGCAGACUUUCGACAUGUCUUCCAGAACUUCGAGACUGACGGAUACUUUUAGCGACAUACUGACUAAGUCUUGUACAAGGACCAGAAGCUCAUAAGAACGAAGAUUUAUCUAUGAUUACUCCAUCGGACGUAUAUCACAAGCAAUAUUUUCACCAUUUGUAAAUGAAUCGUAUGACAGCACUGGUUAUUUUAAAUGAUACGCCAAACCUCGUGACAAACUGCGUAACGUGUAGUUCUAUAAUGGGGUAAGCGAACACCUAUUUUAUUGACUAAUCAUCUGUUAACCGUGUGAACCGGUCAACGCUAUUCAAAACGUACCGGUAUUCUCGUCAAUUUGGUAGCUGACCAAGCGAGUGAAUAUGAUUAUGACUAAGACGACGAUCAGAUGGCUUGAAACAAUGAUUGGGUAUACUGUGUUCCUGUGGUCUACGCCUCAUCAAAAUUAUCUAUUUUUGUUUGAGGAUCAAAGACGUUUAAAUAGGGUAACAAUGAUUUAAAUAGAACCAUCAACCACUGAAAUAGUAAAGACACCGGAAAACAAUUUUACUAUUGCUUGCUUAGUUGUUGUGGAAGUGCACGUGUUUCGGCAACCCGAAACCCCGCAGUGUAUCGUAUACCCUACUUGCCCACCCUCCUACCCACCAACACAUUGUUCGGUCGCCGGCGAGAUAUUGUUGUCACCAGCGAGAUAUAUAGAUAUACUAGUAAUAUACAGGAUGGAAUUCACGGUUUGAUAAGUGGAUUGCAUUGGAUUCAAAAUAAAUGGUCUUUUACAAGGACCAGAAGCUUAUAAGAACGAAGAUUUAUCUAUAAUUAUUCCAUCAGUCGUCUACCACAAGCAAUAUAUCACCAUUUGUAAAUAUAAAAGAUGAACCAAGUGAUGGAGACAUAUCAGUGAAUAGUGACUGUAGAAGUAAAUUUAUAAAUGUGUGACGGAGAUAAUCAACUCACAAUUUAUGAUAGCAAUAGCCAUAUUCCUGAUUUUUAAAUGGUCGGGGAUAGUAAGGUUCGCUAAGGUAUUUAGUCGUAAGGACUGCAUUUGAGACUAGUGCGAUAUGAGCAGCACAGAGUGUUUCUCAGACGGUGGUUUAGUAAAGAGAAUGAACCCACAAUGGAACAUCAUUUUGUGCAGUAGACUAAUAAAUAAAUUGGCGAAUACUCUAACAUCGCCGCCUUUACCAACGUCAGCAGGACAUUGGACCACUUGAGAGUCCAUGAGGAAGUCUCAUGCGCAUCAAAUGCGGAUAUUUAUGGACAAUGCAGACUUUCGGCAUGUUCAUAGGCCUGCCGGUGGUUACGGGGUUUAAAGAACCAGGGGCCUUGACCUCUGUGGCGUAGGGAAAGUGGCGUCCCCAUCGCCCAAUGCACUUGGUGUAUUGCAAUAGCCCUUUAUCCACGGAUAUCUUCUAUCAUCUGCACAAAGUCGGCAGUCCAAAUGGCCGCCUAACGCACUACUAGAACACGUUCCUCGGUCCCACACAAAUUCAUUUUCGUGCACUCAUUUUAGACACUACGAAUGUCCAUGUAUCGCAGGAUGUUUUUCGUCUGGUUUCCAAGUAUUUUCUGGAGUAUGUCUCAAACAAUCAAGUUGCCACUCAUCGCAGCGUAUUGCAAAGUGAUCUCGUCCCACGGGCAUCCGUUUCCAUGGAAAUAUUGCACGAUUUCUAAUUGUCUUCUUAACGCAGCUUACAUGCACGAGACUUCAACCCAACACAAUGUUGUCCAUUUUUGUUGGCACAGUGAUGAUAAUUCAAAAGUCCAUGUACCUCAUCUGUAUUUUUGAUAUGCAAUUUUCGUUGACAACCGCUUUCGUGCGAUAAUUUUAGACGGUCCAUAUGGCCGCCCAUGUCGGCUCUCUAAUACGCUGUUCACGUUUUCCGUCGUCCGUCAUUGAACACAUACGUUAAGUAACUCAGAUGAUCCAAUGUCGCGUCAUACUCUGAAGGUAUCAUUAAUGUUGGAGAGUGCCAGUAGCCCCUGAUCGUUGCGAGCUAACUUCAAACCGUUUGCUUGUUAGUGAAACGCCGCUUUUUCGCAUUUACUGACCGUCACUUUGAUGCUAUUGGACAAACUAAUCACGUGCACACCUCAAAAACACGGGUUGUAUAUCGUUCAACUCAUCAGAAUCAUCGAUGAGUAUUUUCAAACUUGAUAUUUCGACAAUCGAUUUACAAUAGUUCCAUCUCUUUUGUUGCUGAAUUAUGCGUUUGUUCCAUUGUCAAUUUCUUUCAUCGUGGUUGUAUUUCCUAUUAAAUUGGCUCACCGAAGAGUUAUCAAACUUUGAUGAAGCUGGAAAAAUUAUCAGAGUAUUAGAUGAUUCUAAUUAUCGAAAAUGUUAUUCAUGUUCCUGUUCAUCACAGAGGCAAAGUCAUUCUGCAAAUUUUACCGGAUAUUCAACCCGACCAAUCACAACACGAUGACUUACAGAUGAUUCCAGGGAUCGUAGUCUCAUUGCCACGACUGUUAAGAUUAUUAUCAUAGAAGACCGUAUAUACCUAUUCAAACACUGGCUCACGGAAACUAUAUUAUAAAUAGGCGCAAGAUGACACCCCUGUUGAAGACAAUAACAAGAAAACAAUAUCUAGCAAGUGGAGUUAACGUAAAAUGCAGUAAUUCACAACAAAAAAGAGAUAGAAUUAUUAUAAAUUGAUUGUCGGGAUCUCGAAUUCGAAAAUACUCAUCGAUGAUUUUGAAGAGCAGAACGUUAUGCAGCCGGUGUUUGCAAGGUGCAGUUCGUAAUUUAUUUGUCCAAUAGCAUCGAUUUGAUGGUCAGUAUAUGCGAGAAGGCAGCGUUUCAAGGACAUGCAAACUGUUUGAAGCAAGUACGCCCCGAUCAGGGGCUCCUUGCACACUCUGUCAAUGAUAAUUCCUUUGGAAUGUGACCUGAACGUGGCCUUUGGUCAUUUGAAUUGUUUACUGUAUGCAUUCAAUAACGGUAGUCGGCGAUCGAGAACAGAGUGUUGGGGAGCCGACAUGGGUGGCUAUAUGGAUCAUCUAAAGAUUUUGCAUGAAAACAGAUGUGAACGGAAAUGGCUUAUUUAGAAUAUAGAUAAGGUACAUGGAUAGAAAUCCAUGAGAAGGAAUAUCACCACUAUGCCAACAAAAGUGGAAACCAUUGGGUUGAAGUCUCGUGCAUGUAAGCCGUGUUAACCGGACAACUGGAAAUCGUGCACUAUUUACAUGGAAACGGAUGCCCGUGGGACGAGAUCACUUUCCGAUAAGCUGCGAUGAGUGGGCAAUUGGAUUUUACGAGAUAUGCUUUAGAAAACAUCUGGGAACCAGACGAAAAAAUAUCCUGCGAAACAUGGACGUUUAUACUGUCUAGAAUAAGUGCACGAAAAUGGACGUCUGUGGGACGAACGAACGUGUUCUAUUACUGUGUUAAGCAGUCAUUUGAACUGCCGGCUUUGUGCAGAUGGUAGAAGAUAUCCGUAGAACAAGUAUGAUUUUUAUAGAUUUUUUUCGUAAAAAUAUUACAACUUUGCAUUUUAUAGUUGAUUAGAACAUCUUGUAUUCGAAUGUUAAAAAAGUAUAUUGAUUUCAUCAAACCAUUUAAAACAUGUAGUGUUUAAUUAUACUAUUAUUACAUAUAACAAUAAUGACAUUUAUAAGACUUUAAAAUCUCAAAAUUAUAUAAAUAUAAAAAAAAAUUAGAAAUUAGAAAUUCCAAUUAUAAUUGUUCAUUUGUAAUUUAUAA